UUGCUUUGGCAGCACAUAUACUAAAAAAUUGGAAUGAUACAGAGAUUAGCACGGCCCCUGCACAAGAAUGACACACAAAUUCGUGAAACAUUCCAUAUUUUU